rnacentral:rRNA from 1 species
UACGUAGGGGCCGAGCGUUGUCCGGAGUUAUUGGGCGUAAAGCGCGCGCAGGCGGCUUCGCGCGCCCGACGUGAAAGCCCCCGGCUUAACCGGGGAGAGUCGUUGGGGACGGCGGAGCUUGAGGGCGGGAGAGGCCGAUGGAAUUCCCGGUGUAGCGGUGGAAUGCGUAGAUAUCGGGAAGAACACCAGUGGCGAAGGCGGUCGGCUGGACGGCACCUGACGCUGAGGCGCGAAAGCUAGGGGAGCGAACAGG